ACGAAGGGUGCAAGCGUUAAUCGGAAUUACUGGGCGUAAAGCGUGCGUAGACGGCCUGUUAAGUCGGAUGUGAAAGCCCCGGGCUCAACCUGGGAAUGGCAUCCGAUACUGAUGGGCUAGAGUGCGGUAGAGGAGAGCGGAAUUCCCGGUGUAGCGGUGAAAUGCGUAGAGAUCGGGAGGAACAUCCGUGGCGAAGGCGGCUCUCUGGACCAGCACUGACGUUGAGGCACGAAAGCGUGGGGAGCAAACAGGA
rnacentral:rRNA from 1 species